GAGUGACAUAAUGGUCAAUGAAGUUCGGAUGAAUUAUGAAAUCAAAGGUUCAAAUUGCACUAUGUUUAGAAACACGUUUUUGUAGCAAACAAAAGUAAACACAUUUCCGCAUGCUCUACUAUGACCUAGAAGGAUUAAUUGCAUAAAGAGCUAGUCUAGAAGAAAGUUGCAAAUAAAUAAAACUGGAAAACAUUAUCCUCUGCACAAAACACACCCUUGAUUGGCAAUUUUUUGCUCUAAGUUGGAGUUCAUAACUUUCACAUUGCUUGGCCCUCGUACAUUGGUUGAGGCAAUUGGGAACUAGAGGUCGCAUUUGUAACUGGAGGUCCAAAAUUCAGAAAAUUGGGGGUGGAGUUGAAGAUGGAGCCUUCGACUCAGGUUUUUCCACGUACGGACUGAAGCAUCUCAAAGCCACCUAGAAAUGAACAUUAAACUAUUAGCAAGUUCAUGAUAUGCACUCAAACAUCAGAGCAAGAACAACCAAUGAUUUUUUCCAGUGACAACAUGUACUCAAAUAUUAGGGCAAGAGCAGCUCAACGCUUUGGCCUAGUGAUAAAGGGCAGCAUGUGCUAUGCAAGUUACACACUAGUCUAUUCAAAUGAAAAAGGAAAAACUAUGAACCCAUGAACAGAGGUAGUUAGAAUAGCACAUGUACCGGAGUGACAGCCUUGAGCUUUCCUGCAAGAACAACACCGUAAUCACUACCAUCUGGACUAGUCACUGAUAGGUUAAGAAAACCUAUUACGCCACUUUUUAAUCGCAUAAAAGACCCUGAUAACGAGAUGAUAUCGAAUUGACCCUGCAUAGAAGAAUGACAUCAUUAUAAAUGAGCAAUUCCACAACUAUCCAAAUAAGUCCAGUAAUUAAAGUUAUCCAAAGCAAUAGCCUUUCUGCAUAAGCUUCCGGACAUGCCUCAACACAAAGGCAACUGAAAGGGUAAAUGCCUUUGAGCUAAAACCCAUACCGGCCUCAUGUGUCAUAGUGCCACCAGUGGUUGCAGACUGCCGAAGGGUGACUUUACCUAAGACUCCAACUCAAGAUAGAACACAAACUGCAGAUCGUUCUUGCUCUAAGAAAGUAAAUAUCUCAGAUACAAUGUCCUGCGGUAAAGGUAAUAGGUUCACAUCAUUUAGUAAAGUUUAUGUAUUAGUUACAUAAACUUUUCUGUUUCAAGAAAUGGAGCUAUGAGCCCCACAAGUAUAAAGAAGACUCACACAAUUAAUAACAUAUGUAUUAAUUAAGAUAAUACAACUGAAUACAGAUAAAGAAAGUCUCUGUAAUGUGGUAACUUAAGACCAUAAAUAACAACUGACUCAAUUUGUAUAUGCUAGAACCUUUAGUAAGUACAAAAAUCCAGGUGGAUGUUUUUUUUAAAGAAAAAAAUUAUUUUUGAAAGCUAGUUCCAUAUACACUUUACAUUUAACCUAGCAACUCAACCAUCAAGAUACUAAGCCAACAACUCAACCAUUAAGAUACUAAGCCAAUUCUGACAACAUCUGAUCAAAAAGCUGAAAAGAACAUCCUCCAAUUAAUUAAUUAAAAUGUUUGAGAAGAAAAAUAGGACAGGUUUCAUAAACAUAAGGAGGCAAAGGAAAAAUAAAUAUUCAACUAAAAAGAUAAGUUAAGAUGAAAGGACCAUGUUCUAGCCUAUGCAUACAAAAGGAAAAAGAAUAAUGGUGAACAAAAGGAACAAAGAAAUGAAAUAAUAAUGUCUUCCUUUUUCACUUUUAAGAAAUUUAAUACUCAAGCCUAAGAAAAAUAUACAAAAUAAAAUAUGCAAACCAGUGCAUUUAUUAAAACCUAGGUUAAUAAGAGUAUUAC
rnacentral:lncRNA from 1 species